UACGUAGGUGGCAAGCGUUGUCCGGAUUUAUUGGGUUUAAAGGGUGCGUAGGCGGUUUUUUAAGUCAGUGGUGAAAUACGGCAGCUCAACUGUCGGAGGUGCCAUUGAUACUGGGAAACUUGAGUACUGAUGAGGUAGGCGGAAUGGACGGUGUAGCGGUGAAAUGCUUAGAUAUCGUCCAGAACACCGAUAGCGAAGGCAGCUUACUAAGGAGUAACUGACGCUGAGGCACGAAAGUGUGGGGAUCAAACAGG
rnacentral:rRNA from 1 species